rnacentral:rRNA from 1 species
GGUUAAGCGACUAAGCGUACACGGUGGAUGCCCUGGCAGUCAGAGGCGAUGAAGGACGUGCUAAUCUGCGAUAAGCGUCGGUAAGGUGAUAUGAACCGUUAUAACCGGCGAUUUCCGAAUGGGGAAACCCAGUGUGAUUCGUCACACUAUCAUUAACUGAAUCCAUAGGUUAAUGAGGCGAACCGGGGGAACUGAAACAUCUAAGUACCCCGAGGAAAAGAAAUCAACCGAGAUUCCCCCAGUAGCGGCGAGCGAACGGGGAGCAGCCCAGAGCCUGAAUCAGUGUGUGUGUUAGUGGAAGCGUCUGGAAAGGCGCGCGAUACAGGGUGACAGCCCCGUACACAAAAAUGCACAUGCUGUGAGCUCGAUGAGUAGGGCGGGACACGUGGUAUCCUGUCUGAAUAUGGGGGGACCAUCCUCCAAGGCUAAAUACUCCUGACUGACCGAUAGUGAACCAGUACCGUGAGGGAAAGGCGAAAAGAACCCCGGCGAGGGGAGUGAAAAAGAACCUGAAACCGUGUACGUACAAGCAGUGGGAGCACAGAGCAAUCUGUGUGACUGCGUACCUUUUGUAUAAUGGGUCAGCGACUUAUAUUCUGUAGCAAGGUUAACCGAAUAGGGGAGCCGAAGGGAAACCGAGUCUUAACUGGGCGUUAAGUUGCAGGGUAUAGACCCGAAACCCGGUGAUCUAGCCAUGGGCAGGUUGAAGGUUGGGUAACACUAACUGGAGGACCGAACCGACUAAUGUUGAAAAAUUAGCGGAUGACUUGUGGCUGGGGGUGAAAGGCCAAUCAAACCGGGAGAUAGCUGGUUCUCCCCGAAAGCUAUUUAGGUAGCGCCUCGUGAAUUCAUCUCCGGGGGUAGAGCACUGUUUCGGCAAGGGGGUCAUCCCGACUUACCAACCCGAUGCAAACUGCGAAUACCGGAGAAUGUUAUCACGGGAGACACACGGCGGGUGCUAACGUCCGUCGUGAAGAGGGAAACAACCCAGACCGCCAGCUAAGGUCCCAAAGUCAUGGUUAAGUGGGAAACGAUGUGGGAAGGCUCAGACAGCCAGGAUGUUGGCUUAGAAGCAGCCAUCAUUUAAAGAAAGCGUAAUAGCUCACUGGUCGAGUCGGCCUGCGCGGAAGAUGUAACGGGGCUAAACCAUGCACCGAAGCUGCGGCAGCGACACUAUGUGUUGUUGGGUAGGGGAGCGUUCUGUAAGCCUGUGAAGGUGUGCUGUGAGGCAUGCUGGAGGUAUCAGAAGUGCGAAUGCUGACAUAAGUAACGAUAAAGCGGGUGAAAAGCCCGCUCGCCGGAAGACCAAGGGUUCCUGUCCAACGUUAAUCGGGGCAGGGUGAGUCGACCCCUAAGGCGAGGCCGAAAGGCGUAGUCGAUGGGAAACAGGUUAAUAUUCCUGUACUUGGUGUUACUGCGAAGGGGGGACGGAGAAGGCUAUGUUGGCCGGGCGACGGUUGUCCCGGUUUAAGCGUGUAGGCUGGUUUUCCAGGCAAAUCCGGAAAAUCAAGGCUGAGGCGUGAUGACGAGGCACUACGGUGCUGAAGCAACAAAUGCCCUGCUUCCAGGAAAAGCCUCUAAGCAUCAGGUAACAUCAAAUCGUACCCCAAACCGACACAGGUGGUCAGGUAGAGAAUACCAAGGCGCUUGAGAGAACUCGGGUGAAGGAACUAGGCAAAAUGGUGCCGUAACUUCGGGAGAAGGCACGCUGAUAUGUAGGUGAAGUCCCUCGCGGAUGGAGCUGAAAUCAGUCGAAGAUACCAGCUGGCUGCAACUGUUUAUUAAAAACACAGCACUGUGCAAACACGAAAGUGGACGUAUACGGUGUGACGCCUGCCCGGUGCCGGAAGGUUAAUUGAUGGGGUCAGCGCAAGCGAAGCUCUUGAUCGAAGCCCCGGUAAACGGCGGCCGUAACUAUAACGGUCCUAAGGUAGCGAAAUUCCUUGUCGGGUAAGUUCCGACCUGCACGAAUGGCGUAAUGAUGGCCAGGCUGUCUCCACCCGAGACUCAGUGAAAUUGAACUCGCUGUGAAGAUGCAGUGUACCCGCGGCAAGACGGAAAGACCCCGUGAACCUUUACUAUAGCUUGACACUGAACAUUGAGCCUUGAUGUGUAGGAUAGGUGGGAGGCUUUGAAGUGUGGACGCCAGUCUGCAUGGAGCCGACCUUGAAAUACCACCCUUUAAUGUUUGAUGUUCUAACGUUGACCCGUGAUCCGGGUUGCGGACAGUGUCUGGUGGGUAGUUUGACUGGGGCGGUCUCCUCCUAAAGAGUAACGGAGGAGCACGAAGGUUGGCUAAUCCUGGUCGGACAUCAGGAGGUUAGUGCAAUGGCAUAAGCCAGCUUGACUGCGAGCGUGACGGCGCGAGCAGGUGCGAAAGCAGGUCAUAGUGAUCCGGUGGUUCUGAAUGGAAGGGCCAUCGCUCAACGGAUAAAAGGUACUCCGGGGAUAACAGGCUGAUACCGCCCAAGAGUUCAUAUCGACGGCGGUGUUUGGCACCUCGAUGUCGGCUCAUCACAUCCUGGGGCUGAAGUAGGUCCCAAGGGUAUGGCUGUUCGCCAUUUAAAGUGGUACGCGAGCUGGGUUUAGAACGUCGUGAGACAGUUCGGUCCCUAUCUGCCGUGGGCGCUGGAGAACUGAGGGGGGCUGCUCCUAGUACGAGAGGACCGGAGUGGACGCAUCACUGGUGUUCGGGUUGUCAUGCCAAUGGCACUGCCCGGUAGCUAAAUGCGGAAGAGAUAAGUGCUGAAAGCAUCUAAGCACGAAACUUGCCCCGAGAUGAGUUCUCCCUGACUCCUUGAGAGUCCUGAAGGAACGUUGAAGACGACGACGUUGAUAGGCCGGGUGUGUAAGCGCAGCGAUGCGUUGAGCUAACCGGUACUAAUGAACCGUGAGGCUUAACCUU